rnacentral:rRNA from 1 species
UACGUAGGUGGCGAGCGUUGUCCGGAUUUACUGGGCGUAAAGCGUGCGCAGGCGGUUUUGUAAGCCAGAUGUGAAAUCCCCGGGCUUAACCUGGGAAUGGCAUUUGGGACUGCAAGGCUCGAGUACGGAAGAGGCGAGUGGAAUUCCCGGUGUAGCGGUGAAAUGCGCAGAUAUCGGGAGGAACACCAAUGGCGAAGGCAGCUCGCUGGGACGUUACUGACGCUGAGACGCGAAAGCGUGGGGAGCAAACAGG